UUCUUUUUCCCCCUUUCAUUACUUAGUAUAUUUGUUUGAAACUUGGACAGUAGCAAUGUUGGAAACGUUUUGAUUGUUGUGAUUUGAGGUUGUGAUCUUGGAUAUAUACUUUAGUUUACUGGAAAGAGAUUGAUCUUGAAAAGGUUAUAGUUUGCUACUGAAAAUUAGCAUGAGGGCAGCCUAUUGUGCUCUUGUUCCAUUUAUAAGUUAAAGUUCUUCAAAGGCUACUACUGCUAUGAGAUUUCUCUAGCAAAUUCUACAUCCUUGAGCUAGCAUGAUGUUCUAAACAAGGGCAGAGAGUGUGCUUGUGUUACUUUGAUUGUGCUUCCUAAGUUGUGGUGCCUCUAUAUGAUGAUAUGUAUAGCUAUUGGGGAAAGAAGAUGGAGGUGUAUUACCUCUGGAAAAAUCGAAGGAAUGGCUGUCUUUGCUGCCGUUCACCUUGUUCCACCCUCUACUCUCGGUUUGUGCUGAAAUUUUGAAGUGUUUGUGAAAGGGAGUUGAAUGUGGUGUGGAGGGAAAUUUAUAGGCAGAUUGGUGUACUUGUGAGCCUUAAAUGAGGCUGCUGAAACUCUUGUUUCUAUCCAGCAGCAUAUCUCUCUUUUCUUGAUCCAUUGCAGCAACUUUAACUGAAACUUGGUGGUAUACUAAGGGUAUAUUGCAGCAACAAUCCUUUUUGUUGGUUCUUCACCACUCCUUUUAUUUAAUUAAACUUGGUGUUUUGUCUAUGCAUAAGUACUCUUGCAUUAAUACACUUUGUUUGAUUUUUUUGCAGGUACAAGCGAGAGAAUGCAGGGGCUGUUGGGAGCAGAGGAGUUCAAACUGACUUUGCUUCCUUUGGUAAGUCUUUUGGUCUACUCUAACAAAGGAGAAAGAGACAACUUGGCUGCCACCCAACUGUCCCGAGAAGUAGGCUCGCUGCCCUGGCUCAACGGGCUGACCGGGUAGGGUCGCGGUGGUGUGCGACUUGGGCUCGAAAAAAAGAGGCCCAAAGUGUAGUAAAAGAGCCGACUUUAGUUUCUUAGCCUUUUAGCCCAUACUUGUAUAUUUUGUACUAGCAUUCAAAUUUCCUUUUUCUUAAACUCUUAACUCACAUGUACUUAAUUAUGUAAGCUAAAGUGUAGUUCGGCAAGUAGUUGAACUUUCUUAGUUAGGAAAAGAACUCUUCAUAUUCUUCUUCGUUAGUUAUGUAUCA